rnacentral:rRNA from 1 species
UGGGGAAUUUUGGACAAUGGGGGCAACCCUGAUCCAGCCAUGCCGCGUGAGUGAAGAAGGCCUUCGGGUUGUAAAGCUCUUUCGCGAGGGAAGAAAGCGUACAGGUUAAUACCCUGUGCGGAUGACGGUACCUUGAUAAGAAGCACCGGCUAACUACGUGCCAGCAGCCGCGGUAAUACGUAGGGUGCGAGCGUUAAUCGGAAUUACUGGGCGUAAAGCGUGCGCAGGCGGUUUGAUAAGACAGGCGUGAAAUCCCCGGGCUUAACCUGGGAAUGGCGCUUGUGACUGUCUCACUAGAGUAUGGCAGAGGGGGGUGGAAUUCCACGUGUAGCAGUGAAAUGCGUAGAGAUGUGGAGGAACACCGAUGGCGAAGGCAGCCCCCUGGGCCAAUACUGACGCU